rfam:Ricinus communis cultivar Hale ctg_1100012351485, whole genome shotgun sequence.
AAACCAUGAUAUGAAAAACUUCUCAGUAAAUUCUUGAAUCGUUCCUAGCAAUCAUACAAAGUUUCAUUCUCCUGCUGAAGAAAUCUUGUUAUGUCAUUCCUCAGCAG